CUCCUGCUUGACAAGAAACAAAGCCAGCCUUUCAGCAGAAUUCCUGUUCCCUUCAGCAUUGUUUGUACACCACAGCAGAGUUCCUUGAUAAGGGUCAUGGCUCAAAUGAAAAGCCAAUGAGGAAGGUGUAAUAAGCCUCGUCACUGCUUCUCUGUACCUGGAGGCCGACACGAAUUCGCUUGGUUAGCGCUCCCUCUGGAAAGACUGCCUGCACUUGUGGUACCACAGUGCUGCUAAGCACACCUCCCUCAGGUCCAAUGAGGUUGCUGUCCUGUUUGAUCCGGGACACCACUGCAAAAUACUGUGGGAAAUCCCUGGUGAUGAUACGGCAGAUACGCUUCUUCUCAAGCUCCUCCGGAGUGUCAAGUACUGAGUGAAAAACGAGCCACAUUCACACAACAAGAAUUUCAGAGAGACAACACAGCAAUUUCCAAACAAGGAAAGCUCUACAUACUUAGCAAUUAACGGUAUGUCUUCGACUCCAGCACAAAGCCCCUCUCCCUGCCGUAGAUCACUGUCAGUGCCACUGUGGAGUUAUUACAAUAGUAUCUGUGAUUACUCAGCCCCUCCAGACAAGCAGUCAUCCAUAAAAGGAAUGUACCUGGUGGACAAUCAAAGGAGUUGCUCCAUUCCUAUGGAC